rnacentral:rRNA from 1 species
CCUACGGGAGGCAGCAGUAGGGAAUAUUGGUCAAUGGAUGCAAGUCUGAACCAGCCAUGCCGCGUGCAGGAAGAAGGCCUUCUGGGUUGUAAACUGCUUUUGCCGGGGGAUAAAACGAGCAUGCGUGCUUAAUUGAAGGUACCUGGUGAAUAAGCCACGGCUAACUACGUGCCAGCAGCCGCGGUAAUACGUAGGUGGCGAGCGUUGUCCGGAUUUAUUGGGUUUAAAGGGUGCGUAGGCGGCUCUAUAAGUCAGUGCUGAAAUAUCCCGGCUUAACCGGGAGGGUGGCAUUGAUACUGCAGAGCUUGAGUAAAGUUGAGGUGGGCGGAAUUGACGGUGUAGCGGUGAAAUGCUUAGAUAUCGUCAAGAACACCGAUUGCGAAGGCAGCUCACUAAGCUUUAACUGACGCUGAGGCACGAAAGUGUGGGGAUCAAACAGGAUUAGAUACCCUGGUAGUCCACACUGUAAACGUUGAUUACUCGCUGUUGGCGAUACACAGCCAGCGGCUAAGCGCAAGCGAUAAGUAAUCCACCUGGGGAGUACGCCGGCAACGGUGAAACUCAAAGGAAUUGACGG